UUUAUGGAGAGUUUGAUCCUGGCUCAGGAUGAACGCUGGCGGCGUGCCUAAUACAUGCAAGUCGAGCGAACGGACGAGAAGCUUGCUUCUCUGAUGUUAGCGGCGGACGGGUGAGUAACACGUGGAUAACCUACCUAUAAGACUGGGAUAACUUCGGGAAACCGUAGCUAAUACCGGAUAAUAUUUUGAACCGCAUGGUUCAAAAGUGAAAGACGGUCUUGCUGUCACUUAUAGAUGGAUCCGCGCUGCAUUAGCUAGUUGGUAAGGUAACGGCUUACCAAGGCAACGAUGCAUAGCCGACCUGAGAGGGUGAUCGGCCACACUGGAACUGAGACACGGUCCAGACUCCUACGGGAGGCAGCAGUAGGGAAUCUUCCGCAAUGGGCGAAAGCCUGACGGAGCAACGCCGCGUGAGUGAUGAAGGUCUUCGGAUCGUAAAACUCUGUUAUUAGGGAAGAACAUAUGUGUAAGUAACUGUGCACAUCUUGACGGUACCUAAUCAGAAAGCCACGGCUAACUACGUGCCAGCAGCCGCGGUAAUACGUAGGUGGCAAGCGUUAUCCGGAAUUAUUGGGCGUAAAGCGCGCGUAGGCGGUUUUUUAAGUCUGAUGUGAAAGCCCACGGCUCAACCGUGGAGGGUCAUUGGAAACUGGAAAACUUGAGUGCAGAAGAGGAAAGUGGAAUUCCAUGUGUAGCGGUGAAAUGCGCAGAGAUAUGGAGGAACACCAGUGGCGAAGGCGACUUUCUGGUCUGUAACUGACGCUGAUGUGCGAAAGCGUGGGGAUCAAACAGGAUUAGAUACCCUGGUAGUCCACGCCGUAAACGAUGAGUGCUAAGUGUUAGGGGGUUUCCGCCCCUUAGUGCUGCAGCUAACGCAUUAAGCACUCCGCCUGGGGAGUACGACCGCAAGGUUGAAACUCAAAGGAAUUGACGGGGACCCGCACAAGCGGUGGAGCAUGUGGUUUAAUUCGAAGCAACGCGAAGAACCUUACCAAAUCUUGACAUCCUUUGACACCUCUAGAGAUAGAGCCUUCCCCUUCGGGGGACAAAUUGCCAGGUGGUGCAUGGUUGUCGUCAGCUCGUGUCGUGAGCUGUUGGGUUGAGUCCCGCAACGAGCGCAACCCUUAAGCUUAGUUGCCAUCAUUAAGUUGGGCACUCUAAGUUGACUGCCGGUGACAAACCGGAGGAAGGUGGGGAUGACGUCAAAUCAUCAUGCCCCUUAUGAUUUGGGCUACACACGUGCUACAAUGGACAAUACAAAGGGCAGCGAAACCGCGAGGUCAAGCAAAUCCCAUAAAGUUGUUCUCAGUUCGGAUUGUAGUCUGCAACUCGACUACAUGAAGCUGGAAUCGCUAGUAAUCGUAGAUCAGCAUGCUACGGUGAAUACGUUCCCGGGUCUUGUACACACCGCCCGUCACACCACGAGAGUUUGUAACACCCGAAGCCGGUGGAGUAACCUUUUAGGAGCUAGCCGUCGAAGGUGGGACAAAUGAUUGGGGUGAAGUCGUAACAAGGUAGCCGUAUCGGAAGGUGCGGCUGGAUCACCUCCUUUCU
rnacentral:rRNA from 1 species